rnacentral:rRNA from 1 species
AGUCGAGCGAGUCUGCCUUGAAGAUCGGAGUGCUUGCACUCUGUGAAACAAGAUACAGGCUAGCGGCGGACGGGUGAGUAACACGUGGGUAACCUGCCCAAGAGAUCGGGAUAACACCUGGAAACAGAUGCUAAUACCGGAUAACAACAGAUGAUGCCUAUCAACUGUUUAAAAGAUGGUUCUGCUAUCACUCUUGGAUGGACCUGCGGUGCAUUAGCUAGUUGGUAGGGUAACGGCCUACCAAGGCGAUGAUGCAUAGCCGAAUUGAGAGACUGAUCGGCCACAUUGGGACUGAGACACGGCCCAAACUCCUACGGGAGGCAGCAGUAGGGAAUCUUCCACAAUGGACGCAAGUCUGAUGGAGCAACGCCGCGUGAGUGAAGAAGGGUUUCGGCUCGUAAAGCUCUGUUGUUGGUGAAGAAGGACAGGGGUAGUAACUGACCUUUGUUUGACGGUAAUCAAUUAGAAAGUCACGGCUAACUACGUGCCAGCAGCCGCGGUAAUACGUAGGUGGCAAGCGUUGUCCGGAUUUAUUGGGCGUAAAGCGAGUGCAGGCGGCUCGAUAAGUCUGAUGUGAAAGCCUUCGGCUCAACCGGAGAAUUGCAUCAGAAACUGUCGAGCUUGAGUACAGAAGAGGAGAGUGGAACUCCAUGUGUAGCGGUGAAAUGCGUAGAUAUAUGGAAGAGCACCGGUGGCGAAGGCGGCUCUCUGGUCUGUUACUGACGCUGAGGCUCGAAAGCAUGGGUAGCGAACAGGAUUAGAUACCCUGGUAGUCCAUGCCGUAAACGAUGAGUGCUAAGUGUUGGGAGGUUUCCGCCUCUCAGUGCUGCAGCUAACGCAU